rnacentral:lncRNA from 1 species
AGAGUAUUCGAAAACAAUAUGCAUUCUUAUGAUUAAAAGAAACAGAGCAAUAUCUAAAAUUUAUGUAGUAUCAAUUCCAUGCUGCUUAAUUUAUUUGUUUACUUUAAGUGCAUACUUACUGUAGAGAAACCUACUGUGUGUGUGUGUGUGUUUCUUUAAUAUCAACAGAUAACAUACGUUCCUUUUCAGUUACAAAAAAAACAUACGUUCCUUUUUUUAACACAAGAUAGCAUACGUUCCUACUAUACUCUUUUAAGCUUUUAACAUUUAUUGCUCAUUUAAACCAUAUUAUAAUGUUUUCCAUUAUAGGUGGAUCAAAUAUAUUAAAAAUAUGUUUACCAAAAAAAAUAUUUAAAAUAUGGGAUAAUAUGAGAGAAUGGGUGGAGCAGAGAUUCCACGCCCUAAAUGAAGGAAAGGGAUGGGGCAGUCCCUGUCUUAGUGUACUUAUUAUAUUGAGUUGAUUACACCCAAAGACACUUUUUGUCUUUCUUUUACAUUGAGAGACACUUUCCACAUUUGACACACUUUAUGGUGGGGCCUAGGCGUUUUUUUGACAAAUUUACCCUUAAUGAGAAGGAAAAAAUGUUUGUGGACAUGGAUACUUGAAAAUUUGUGGACAUAGGUACAUAAAUGUUUGUGGACAAAACAAGUUGUGGACGAACAAUUUUAACGAACAUAUCUCUUAUACACAUCUACAUCUUGUAUAAAUGAUAUUGAUUAUAUAGAACGAAUGAUAUCGUUUGAACCAAUAAAUUGUGGAUAUACAAAUUGUGGACAGGUUGAUAUUGAUUAUAUAGAAUGAAUGGUAUCGUUUGAACCAAUGAAUUGUGGAUAUACAAAUCAUGGACGGGUUGAUAUUGAUUAUAUAGAAUGAAUAAUAUUGUUUGAAUCAACAAAUUGUGGAUAUACAAAUUGUGGACGGGUUUCUGACCUUAAUCUUGCUGAUAAAAAAGUUCAAUUUAAUAGAUCAGCGCAAGAUUACAUCAACAACCAGAAGAGAAAACACUAAUAAAAAGCAAUUCAACAUCAAUAGUCUUCAAAUUUGAGGAUUUAUGUGGAUUUAAUUCAAUCAAGCCAAGAACUUUAAAAUAGAUAAAGCUAUCUCGUUAAAGCCAAGAACUUUGUGGACAAAAAAUAUGCGUGGACGGAAGAUGUGUGGAUGAGAGAUGCGUGGAUGGGAGACGCGUGGACAUGAGAUGCGUGGACGGGAGACGCGUGGAGCCACUUACACCACCACUGUAACUACCCUCACGUCUUACACCACAGCCUCCAUAACCACCACCGCUUCCACUGCGGUAUCCAUCGCUUCCUCCACCGUAUCCACUACCACUGUAUCCACCACCAUCUCCUCCACUUGAGUAGCCACCUCCACCAACCACCACCAUUGUAUCCACACUCACGCCUUCCACCAUCACCUCCAUAACCACCACCGCCUCCAUUGCGGUAUCCAUUGCUUCCUACACCACGGCCUUCAUCGCAACCUCCAUCGUUUACGGGACUAAAUUUUGUUCAUAGGAGAGAUUGAGAUCGAGGAAUAGAGAUCGAGAUUCUGAGAUUGAGAAAUAGAGAUUGAGAUUCCGAGAUUGAGAUAAAAAGAUCGAGAAAAGACAAAAGUGAAAAAGAGUAUUAAUGACAAUUUCAGAUGGAGAAGGUUAGGGUUCAAUCUCUUUAAUCUCUCAUGUCUGAGUUCAACAUCUGGAUCUAGAAAAUGUCAGGGGAGAAAAAUUUUUCACGAUUUUGUAUAAAUUGAAGAGAUAAGGUUUGGUUAUUAGUUAGAGAAAAAAAAUAUUGUAUUUUAGAAAAAAGUAAAAAAGCAAAUCAAUUUGGUUGGUUAGAAGAAAAAGUAAAGAUGUUUCUUGUUGAGGGUUAUAUUAGUAAACCUAGCAUAAAGAAAGUGUGUUGUAUCACAAUGUGACUCUGAGUGAAAUUAAUAAGACAAAAUGUGUCUCUGAGGGUAAAAAUUUCUAUUAUAUUAGACCACAGUAUAAAUUUAAAGUUAUUCAUGGGUUCAACCUCUAGGUUCAUCAACCGAUAAGAUUUCAUUAUUUCAAAUUCGAUAUCUUUUAAAAAAGAAAACAAAAUAUUAUUAAGUUAUGUUAUGUUUUAAAGAAAAAAAGUAAAAAAAAAAUAGUAGUUACAGAAAAAAGAAUUAAAAAAAAAUAUUUUUAAAUCUUAAUCUCUAAACCCUAAAUCAUAAACUCUAAGCCCUUGGGUAAACUCUAAACCCUUGAAUAAAUCCUAAACUCUAAAUAAAAAACACUAAACACUAAAACCCUAAACCAUAAAUCAUAAACCCUAAACCCUAAAUCAUAAACCCUAAACCCUUGAGUGUUUUAGUAUUUAGUGAUUUUGUUUUAGCGUUUAAGAUUUAUCCAAAGGUUUAGAAUUUAUCGAAGGGUUUAGGAUUUAGGAUUUAGGGUUUAGAGAUUAGGAUUUAGGGUUUAGUUUGCUGACGACGUUAAAAUAUAUUUUUUGUAAUUACUACUAUUUUUUAUUUAUUUCUUUUUAAUUUUAAAGAUAUAAUAUAAUUUAACAAUAUUUUAUUUUUUUUAAGAUAUCAAAUAUGAAAUAAUACAAUCAUAUUAGUUGAAGAACCUAGAAGUUAUGAACCCAAAAAUAAAUCUACAAAAUAUACACAGUGCAUUUUUUUUAAGUAUUUCUCGAAAAAUAUUUCCAUGCAAGUCU